UACGGGGGGGCAAGCGUUGUUCGGAAUUACUGGGCGUAAAGGGCUCGUAGGCGGCCAACUAAGUCAGACGUGAAAUCCCUCGGCUUAACCGGGGAACUGCGUCUGAUACUGGAUGGCUUGAGUUUGGGAGAGGGAUGCGGAAUUCCUGGUGUAGCGGUGAAAUGCGCAGAUAUCAGGAAGAACACCCGUGGCGAAGGCGGCUCUCUGGAACGCAACUGACGGCUGAGACGCGAAAGCGUGGGGAGCAAACAGG
rnacentral:rRNA from 1 species